CAAAAUUCUCAGCUCUCUGUGAGCUAAGAUCAAGCGUAGUAUCUGUUCUAAUCAGUUUAAUAUCUGAUAUAUCCUUUCUUUGAGGACUGUAUAUUAAAUUGAUUUUUGAAACAGGGGGCUGGAAUAGGAGCUUGCUCUGUCCACCCCAGGCAUUGACCUGGUAUUGCAGUGCCACAUCCAAAAUUCCUGCU
rnacentral:snRNA from 1 species